UAAUCUCUCUGCAGAAUGCUG
rnacentral:miRNA from 1 species